CUGUGACGUGAUGGCCUACCAUCUUUCGGGACUGACCCGCCAUGGAGAGAGCAGUGCUGCUGAUCACAG